rnacentral:rRNA from 1 species
GUCGAACGAGUUCUGAUUAUUGAAAGGUGCUUGCAUCUUGAUUUAAUUUUGAACGAGUGGCGGACGGGUGAGUAACACGUGGGUAACCUGCCCUUAAGUGGGGGAUAACAUUUGGAAACAGAUGCUAAUACCGCAUAAAUCCAAGAACCGCAUGGUUCUUGGCUGAAAGAUGGCGUAAGCUAUCGCUUUUGGAUGGACCCGCGGCGUAUUAGCUAGUUGGUGAGGUAACGGCUCACCAAGGCAAUGAUACGUAGCCGAACUGAGAGGUUGAUCGGCCACAUUGGGACUGAGACACGGCCCAAACUCCUACGGGAGGCAGCAGUAGGGAAUCUUCCACAAUGGACGCAAGUCUGAUGGAGCAACGCCGCGUGAGUGAAGAAGGCUUUCGGGUCGUAAAACUCUGUUGUUGGAGAAGAAUGGUCGGCAGAGUAACUGUUGUCGGCGUGACGGUAUCCAACCAGAAAGCCACGGCUAACUACGUGCCAGCAGCCGCGGUAAUACGUAGGUGGCAAGCGUUAUCCGGAUUUAUUGGGCGUAAAGCGAGCGCAGGCGGUUUUUUAAGUCUGAUGUGAAAGCCCUCGGCUUAACCGAGGAAGUGCAUCGGAAACUGGGAAACUUGAGUGCAGAAGAGGACAGUGGAACUCCAUGUGUAGCGGUGAAAUGCGUAGAUAUAUGGAAGAACACCAGUGGCGAAGGCGGCUGUCUGGUCUGUAACUGACGCUGAGGCUCGAAAGCAUGGGUAGCGAACAGGAUUAGAUACCCUGGUAGUCCAUGCCGUAAACGAUGAAUGCUAGGUGUUGGAGGGUUUCCGCCCUUCAGUGCCGCAGCUAACGCAUUAAGCAUUCCGCCUGGGGAGUACGACCGCAAGGUUGAAACUCAAAGGAAUUGACGGGGGCCCGCACAAGCGGUGGAGCAUGUGGUUUAAUUCGAAGCAACGCGAAGAACCUUACCAGGUCUUGACAUCUUUUGAUCACCUGAGAGAUCAGGUUUCCCCUUCGGGGGCAAAAUGACAGGUGGUGCAUGGUUGUCGUCAGCUCGUGUCGUGAGAUGUUGGGUUAAGUCCCGCAACGAGCGCAACCCUUAUGACUAGUUGCCAGCAUUUAGUUGGGCACUCUAGUAAGACUGCCGGUGACAAACCGGAGGAAGGUGGGGAUGACGUCAAAUCAUCAUGCCCCUUAUGACCUGGGCUACACACGUGCUACAAUGGAUGGUACAACGAGUUGCGAGACCGCGAGGUCAAGCUAAUCUCUUAAAGCCAUUCUCAGUUCGGACUGUAGGCUGCAACUCGCCUACACGAAGUCGGAAUCGCUAGUAAUCGCGGAUCAGCACGCCGCGGUGAAUACGUUCCCGGGCCUUGUACACACCGCCCGUCACACCAUGAGAGUUUGUAACACCCGAAGCCGGUGGCGUAACCCUUUUAGGGAGCGAGCCGU